rnacentral:lncRNA from 1 species
UGUAGGGGAGGAAAAAAGUCUUUUUCCCUUCUACCCUUCUAUGUUCUCCACGGUUAGGGCUUUGUAACAAAAGACAGAUCAAUGAGAGAAAAAUAAACAGAAGUUUAUUAGCAUGUGUAUCUCAUAUAUACGUGGGAGCAACUCAGGGAUGAGUAACUCAAAGGGGUGGCUAGAACUUGGGCUUAUAUAGCUGAUAAAAGAAAGAGAAAAGAACGAGGCCAGAGUCGACGUGAUGAUUACCAUGACCGCCUCAAGGCUGAACUAUGGGCAGAAAUAAAAACCUACAUUUUAACCUUCACUGUCACCAGAUGGCCGGAGAACAACUCGGUAGUAUUUCCCUGCAGUUAGAACAUUUAGAAAGCCCCGGACACAAGAUAAACUGUAGCUGAAAAGGGUGACCAAUCAGAACUGGACUCAGCCUUAACCUUGCGUACUCUGCACCUUUUACCUUUAAAACCUGGCCACCCCAAGACCGAGGCAGCACAGGUGUUAGCUCAGGGCUAAUCUUCCUCAGCAAAAAAUAAAAAAUAAAAGAUAAUUGUAUUUCCAACUUGGGGCAUGCCUUCCACAGUCUCCAGUGAUCAAGGCACCUGCGUCACUGAGCAAACCGUGCAAACUUUAAUGAAAAUCCCUUUAAACUUCUUGGACUUUUAAACUUCUUGGCUCCUAUCAUCCUCAAUCAUCAGGCAAAGUUAAGAAAGUUAAUGGAAAAACUGGAUUCAAGCAGAAGAAAUCUUAAAUUGCAUGGGGCUAUGUGAAUUGAGGAAGACGUUCUAAUGUUUUGCUUUUCCAGAUUUAAAGAAAUCUUUUCUCUUAAGCUAAAUAUGACUUAUAGCAAUUUGUAAGCAGAAUUGAAGCGUUGAUCUUUUUCUCCCUACCUGAUCCCUCCAGAAUUUGGAAACUCUUGAUAAGUGAGUGUUCUUAUUUUUCAUGGCAAUAUGAUUGUUUGCAUAAGUUCGAAUAGAAUCUGUUAUCCUGAUAGCAGCACACGGCUGGAAACACUGGUUAUAUUACCAAGGCUUUGACUGGAAUGUCAUGUUAAACAAACAAACAAGAAACCCCCAAAACAUGCAUAGACUCGGAUAUGACCAAACAGCUUUAAGGAACAAGGAUUGACUUUAUGGAACAAAUAAAGCCACUUGGAAAUAUUGGCCUGGUACCUUGCUUAUAGGGUUCCCAGCAACCUUACCAGAUUUCACUUGAGUUUCCAGGCCCAACCUUGAUUGGUUUACAGGCCUCUUCUCUUGGAUUCCCUAAGGAUUGAGAUCCAUUAUGGAGGGGAUACUAAAAUUUGGGCUGUGGGCUGGCCCGGUGGCACAGCGGUUAAGUUCGCACGUUCCGCUUCAGUGGCCCGGGGUUCGCCGGUUCGGAUCCCGGGUGCAGACAUGGCACCGCUUGGCAAGCCAUGCUGUGGUAGGCGUCCCACAUAUAAAGGAGAGGAAGACGGGCACGGAUGUUAGCUCAGGGCCAGUCUUCCUCAGCAAAAAGAGGAGGAUUGGCAGCAGUUAGCUCAGCG